GGGGAUCAAGGUCCAGAAUACGUUCCAAUUGCGCCAGGAGAUUCAAAGCUUCUGCUUCACUAUAUGAGUUUUCACUCGUACUCAUGUUUCAGAAAAUAGUAUGCUCUGGCUGCCAAGAGAAAGGAAGAGAGAUUUUAGCCAAUGAUAACAACAACAACAACAAAAGAAGAAGUAGAAGUAGUGGCAGUACUACUACUACUAAUAAUAAUAAUAUAAUGACAACUUACAUGCAAUUGAAGAAAUAUAACUGCCUGGGUAAUAUGAUACAUGUAACCUCAGGCAGGGAUGACAAAACCCGGGUCUAGUUCCAGUCUCCCUGCAACCAGGUGAAUAUUUGCUUUUCUGCACACUAAAAAAGGAGGAUGAUGGUUAAACCCAAAUGAGGACCAGGAAACCCAGGUUUUAAACUUGGAAAAGAAGUUAAGCUCUGAUUUUUCUCCAAUUUUCCAUGUAAAUAAACUAAUAUGCUUGCUCCACAAUUCUCAAUUCACAAAUGAAUUUCCAAUACCGAAGCAACAAAGCAACUUAAAACAGCCUCAAAAUUGCCAACUUUCAUUUUCAAUAGCAUUAUACAGAGGAAUUGAAAAACAAAAAUUCGAAAAUAUAAAAUUUGAAACUCACAAUCAGACAGAAAGCCAAGCGUCUUUCGGUCGUGGGUUGCUUCAGCUCGAGCUGCAAUGGGAAGUAGAUUCGGUGUCUUGCAGUGGGUUCGAUGGGAAGGGGAAAAGCCGCCGAGCUUCGCGUGGUCUCCCGCGGUGGUACAGCGGUAGCGCCGGCGAAAUGGUUUGGAUUUUAUUUUUAUGGUCUGGGGAAUAAGGUCCGGCUCUGUAAAGACUGAAAAGUGUUUAGUAGUUAGAUUCUUUUAGUGGGAUGGGCAGUUUACGGUUCGUUCGGUCUGAACCGAAACCGAUGGGUUCCAAAUAACUUGAACCAAAGCCGAACCGAACCAAACUGAAAUAUUUCGGUUCAGUUCAUUCAUUUCUAAAAUUCGGUUUCGUUUUGGUUCGAUUCUGCAUUCUUGGUUUGGAAUUUAGCACCACACCUCUUGUUAAAAGUACAUAUCAACCAAGUUGAAUCAACUAGCAAUACCCAACUCAGGAUACAUUAAAACAGAAAUCAAUUAUUGGUUACAAAUUCUUUUUUCAUAAGUACAGCCGGCCAAAGAAUUGCAGAUUUGAUAAUUCCAAAAGUAUUGCAGAAACUAAACAUGCAGAGAAGCCACGAAAGAGCAACUCAAUGCCCUUGAUUUUUUUUUUAACAUUGACCACUUAAACUUCAGGGGAAAAAAAUACCUUAAAAAAAGUUAUCUAUUUCUGUCCUAACAAAAUCUUAUUGGCUGUUCGGGUGAUUUUUUUUUUUUUUUUUACAAAUACCUGCAAUUUUGGAUACGUUGAUGUUACCCAAUGAUCUUGUUUAAUUAGUUGUUGGAAUUAAUCUUCAAACUUAAGAAUCAAUUUUUCCAAUAAAAAAAAGAAAGAAAUCUUCGAAAGCCACCAACUACAAUACAAUAAAAUGGUGUUUGAAAAUCUCCAAUGCUCAAUGAAUCAUAAAUUUAAACUUUAUUAUAUAUUUUACAACAUGAACAAAAUUUUUGAAAGCCACCAACUUAAAUUUGGAAAACUUCAAAACUUUCUACAGAGGGUGAAGACGAAAAAGCGUUAUAUUAUGUUAUAUCCAUUCUCAAAGCACGAUCAAAUAAACUGAAAAAAGAACGAAGUCAACAUGACAACAACUCACUGUUUCCGACUCUUCGACGCGAUGGCAACGGCUGAACGAGGCUGCAACAGCAACAGCUGGCGCCUGGCGACGAGGCAGCUGAAUCACAAUCACGAUCUGCCGUCUGUCGUCUGCCGCGAGCUAAUAAAAAAUAUCGAAUCACGAUUGCCUGCGGAGGAUGGUGCGUGAUGACAGUGAGAUUAAGAGAGUGAGACGCUGAGACGAGAGGGUGAGACAAUGAGAGACCGUGAGAGUGAGAUGGUGACCGGAGACGGAGAGAGC
rnacentral:lncRNA from 1 species